UUAGAUAAUUGACCACACUACAGAUCACAAACCCCUUGAAACCCAAAACCCAGAAACUGUAAAAUAGUACACCAAACUGAAGGGAAAUAUAAAAACUGCCACCCCACAUACACAAACACUAAAGAACCUACAACAUUCAUGGUGGCGAGCCAACAGCACCACCAGGAAGAGUGGGUCGGACCCUGACACAACCAACCCCAGGAAAGGAACAAAACCCAGAUGGUCCUAAUGCAAUAGUUGGACCAAAAGGGGUUGGGAUUACUGAACCAGUCCCUCCAAAGCUUCCAAAGUAGUUCUGUGGGUAGUCAACUUUCUCCUUGAGUCUUCUUGCUCCUUCAACUUCCAUGGCAGGUAAAACCAGAAACAUGGUGAGGAUCACCGCCGCCAACUUAGCAGCUCUCUCCAUCUUUACUUUCUUGCACACUCUGUUUUUUACUUGCAAUGUAUGAAGAUAUAAAGAAGCCAAGCCAUCCCCCACACAAUGCAGGUAACCAAUUCUGUUGGAAAAUUUAUUAGAGGUAACAGGUUCUGUAUUUGUGUCAGUAGCAAACAAUGUGUAAUGGACAUUGACUGCCUUUUGGCUUCUGCAGUAAAUAUACUUCCAUUUUCUUGACCUGUCUCUUACAAUUUCUACCUACUGCCUGAUACAUUAAUUCCUUUAAAAAGAAUUUUAAUUUUAGAUUAAAAAGAAUGAAAAGGAAAAGAAAAGAAAGCAGUUCGGACGUGUCACAAAGUAGAUGGUCGGUCAUCUGUCUUGAGGUAAGCAAUGAGUAGUUCUCAUAACAACCCCACUGUUAAUUCUGAGCGGGUAAAAAAUAAGAAAAGAAAGCACAGAAAUCGAAAGGUUGCGCCAAUUCCAAAAGUGAAAUUCAGAAAAUGCUUUCCUUUUCUCUAUCUCUUCCUCUUCCUCAGUUCGACCUAAUUUUACAGAGAGUACAACUUACGUCUUCCUCAAUUUCCUGUGUCAAUUACCAUAAUCAUCAUCAUCAUCAUCAUCAUCAACAACAACAGCAACAACUUCUGGGUAUAAUUAGCGGAUGAUGAGAUGUGUCUUUUCUGACUCACAGGUAGCAAUUAGGAUCACGGAAAUUGGAAAGUGCAAGUUUUGUGGUAGCUACUAAAAUCUGGUCGAUAAGGUACAAUUCCAUCGUCUUUUCAACGACUUACAAUUGUAUGCCCAGUAAAUUCUUCUGUUGCUAAUCAGGUUGGCCGACCAGAUUAGCCUGGCCUUUGUCUUCCGAAACUUGUUAUAGAGCUGCGUUAAUUUGGGAAAUUUGAAGUGUUACCAACAACUGAAUCGUUGUAGUAUAGUGGUGAGUGUUCCCGCCUGUCACGCGGGUGACUCGGGUAUAAUCCUCGGCGAGGGCUUUUUUUGGAUUUUGUUGUUGUAAGUAACACUAUCAUAAUUGAAUCAUUUAUUUAAGAGUAAAGUUCAAUAAUUAACAACAAGGUCCCGUAGCUCAGUUGGUUAGAGCGUUGGUCUUAUGAGCCGAAGGUCGCGGGUUCGAGCCCCGCCGGGACCAUUUCUGUAUACUGUAUAUAUUUUUUUGUCUAAUGAUUACUUUUUCUAUCUCCAAAUUAGUAAACUUUUUUUGUCUUUAAUUCACUAAUUAUUUCUUUAAACAUUUUCUUUUAUCUUCCUUCAUUCAAUAAUUAUUUUUUCCAUCUCCAAAUUAUGUAAUCAUAUUUUUAUCUUUUGUAAAAUCACUAAUUAUGUUUAGAUCUCCAAAUUAUUUAAUCAGGUACAUAAAACUUAAUUUCAGAAUUUUUUUUUUUUCAUUUUUUUCUCAUCGAGUAAAUAUGUAUCAUGCCUUGUCCGGUCCUAUGAACAUCCUUUCAUACAAAGGAGAUUAAGAGCACAAAGCACCCCAAGCUACACAAGAAAGGUUUUCUUUUGAACUCUGCACAAAUGCCAUUUAUACAGUGAUAUGUUUCUGUAGCAAUUAGCAAAGAAACAGAGAUCCAUCUUUCAAAAAUAUUAGCACUUCUCACCUUGAUGCAUAUGCAGGCACACAAGAAAAGUUUCAAUAGGUUCACAAAGUCACAAAUUGCCAAUGCACAACAUUUGUUUCAUUAACAAAGGGAAAUUAAUAACAAUGUCUAUAACAAUUUGAUCCAGCUUUUAAAUUAAGAAACAAAUAAAGAUAUAGUUGAUGCCUUCUAAACAAAAUUAUUGUCUCGGCACAAAAAUUGUCUUCUCAAACACAUUGCCCCAUGUUAUUUCCCAAUACGCAUGAUAAUGGACAUAAUCGGUUGUGAAACUAUGCUGUAGACAUGAUGCAAUCAAUUGCCUGUUUGCAAAUGCCUGUCAUUGUGGCUUCAGGCCCAUAAACCUGAAAAGAAAAUGAAGCGCUCAAUUAAGCAACAAAAAUGUAAAUAUAAAUGAUUUCAGUAUAGCAAACGGAAAAGAGAUUCUUUUGUUCGUUAAGCAAAAGGAUAACAAUUGGAUUUUCCUUUUAUGGUCUUUAAAGAUGGAUUGGAAUUUAGAGUUAAAAACGAAUAGCGCAAAAGUAGAACCCAACUUGACCUCUCAAAUCACUCCACCUUCAGAAAAAGCUAUGAUUUCAGUAUUUCAAAAUCAGCAAAGAUCCCAAAUUUACUGAACAAUGUGGACAUGACCAAUAACUGUGUUCCAACAAGUUUCAUGCAAUCCCCGAGCCUAAUUAAAAGAGUAUGUUGUCAUUUCAUACCUCAAGAGGUACUCCCAGCUCUUCUCCCAGACUGCGCAUCUUUGCCAAACCAGUUUGAUAGUUGGGACCUCCUCUUCGAACAUAGAUAUGCAUUCUUGCUGCUUUUAACUUGGAUUCCUAUUAGGAGAAGAAAAUAGUAGCCAAAUGUAUUAGGAAAGGUAAAUAUAACAAUUGAGUUACAGUUUGAGACAAAUUUCAAACAGGAUAUACCUUUUCUCUGAGGGCUCGUAUAAUACCAUUGAAAGUAGCUGCAACAUCUGUGAAGUUAGCAAUGCCACCUCCAAUAAGAAGAGCUCUCUUACGACCAUCAGGAUCAGCGGUGGCACACUGCAACAAUUUAAGGAAUUUGUUUCCUCAAUAUAUGGGAUUAUCUCGAACAAAAGAAGCAAAGAAAUGUAAAAGUUCAUUGCCUCUUACAUCAAUCACAACUCUUGCAUAUUGCAAGACUUCCUCCUCAUUAGGAGCUCCACUAUACUCCGCAUAGUUGCCAAGCUCUGAUGCAUAACCCAAAUCUCCAACCUAGUUAAAUAGAAAAGCAAAUGCCAUAAAAAGAUCGAGUAUAAACCCCAAUGACUGCUGGAAUGAAGCCAAGUGGCAUGAAGUACUUACAGUAUCAGCAUAUAUAACACUGGCACCACCUCCAGCUACCAUUGUCCAGAUACGUCCUUUUGGGUUCAGAACAGUGAAUUUCAAAGAUGCACUUGUCUGUGAACAAAUAAUAUCAUUACUCUAUGUGAUUUAUGGUUCACAAAGUUGAUACCAGCUUCAUACUCAGGACAUUUAUGGUAUUACCUUCUCAUCCAGUGUGUGAAUGAAGCUUUCAGUAGGGCUCAGGACUCUUCCAAAAGGAAGAGGAAACUCUAUAUUACCCCACCUGAUGCACAGAAACAUUUGAAAAAGACAAAAUCACAUAAUGUAACAUAUUUUCGCUGGACAAUUUGUCAAUCAACUGAUACUCCUUUUGUUUUUUCUUUGUAAAGAACAAUUUUCAACAAAUAUAUACUUCUGGAAGUUCUUGAAGGCAGCAGUGUCAUCCAGCUCUCCUCUCAUAUCCAGUGGAUAUGGCUCUCCAUUCACAAGGGUAAAUGGGUUCAUCUCUAGAAAACUGAAGUCCAGAUCUGUGAAGAAUUAAAAAUAAAGUUAGAAGUGAAACUGCUAACAUUAAGAAGAAAUCACCUAAAAAGUAAGCAAUAAACAAAAUUUUACAUAAAAGGGGGGCCUCUUCAUCUCUAAAAAAGAAAAAAGAGAGAGAGAAUGAAUAUUAGAUCAUUUUCAACACAUCAUAGGUCAUGCUGAAAUUAAAUUGAACUACAAGCUGUGAUCCUUGCCUCACAUAAUAUGUUCAGAUAAAAGGCAACCUUAAUCAUAUGCACAAGUUAGUAAUUUCCUAUGAAUGAAUGUGGCAAGGAGAAUGCUCUAUGAAACCUUGAAACCGCACAUACCUUGGAAGACAGCAAAGACGCCCAUAAUGAAGUCACCAAUUUUACCUCGAAUCUACCAAAAAUGUAGAAUAUUGAACACCGGGAUUAGCAUAUGGUUAAUGCCUCAAAAUCAAUAAUGCAACAGAGAGGCAAUUAACAAUGCCAAAUAAAAACAGAAUUCAAACAUAAAAUUCUUGAAAAUAUCAGAAAAUCACUAAGAUCUAGCAAAAUUAAGCGUGCCCCAUAAUAGAAAACUAGCACUAACCUCCAAAGGAAGUGUAGCAAUCAAUGGAGCACAUGCCUCGAAGGUCAUAAGUUUUUCAGUAGGAAGAAAUAUAGUCUUAACCUGAAUGAAUAAAAAUCAAACCAUGUAAGCAUCUUCUGAUAUAAAUUCCACAUGCAAUGACAUAAAAAAGAAUCAAGCAUCAGUUUUGGAUAUACCUUAUCCCAGUUUUCUUCAAUUUCAAUACCUCCACAUUCUGAAAAGCUAAUGGUGGAUCCAAGUCUUUCAGAAACUAUUGAGAGGUAAAAUUCUUGAUUAUGUGGAACAAAUGGUUCAACAAUGAACGUAGUUAUUGGUGCCUUACAGCCACUCAUUUCAACCUAAAGAAAUUCAAUUCACAUUUAAUGAUCUAAAUCAUUAAAAAUAAAAAGAAGAUGAAAACUUUCCGCUUAGCUGGAUUAAGUAAUCACCUCAACGCCAAGCCUUCCUUUUACAAAUUCAGCAACUUGAGCUAGAUCUAAAUUCAAAGCUACCAAACCACUCUUCCCACGUUUCCCAAAUAGCAUAUCUGGCUUCACCACUAAUCUUGAAGAAGAAAGCCAUGGUUCCUGAUUUGUCAGCUCUGUAAAGUCAGUUGACUGUGUCACCUACACAACAUUAUCAACAAAUUAAAAUGAAACCCCUUAAAAUUUGACCAAAAUUCCACUAAAUUCGAUUCCAAUAACACUUAAAGAUUGGAAGUUCCACCAUAGUAGGACUUCUAAUUCAUCUAAUCAAUGAAAUCGAGAAAACACGAACUGAUCAAACUAAUCAGUGAAUGUAGUAAGUAAAACUAGAAACCUGAGCAGAGCAGAUCUGGAGAUCGAUGCCACCAAGGCGCUUCAAGUGCUCCUUGAGAAGUCUUUUGGAGUCGUACUCUCUAAUCUUCUUUCGAGCCAUUUGUUCAAUUCAAGAUCUGUAAAAGGACAACCAACAAUAGUAUAACUAGAGAUACUCUGUUUUUCAAAUGACUAUGUUGAAACAGAGAUUUAUACUCACUAUAUGCCUAAAAUUUAUUGAAAAAAGAAAGGAAAGAUGGAAGUUUUGCUUCAAAUAGACGAUUUUUAAGACUCACCAAACGUACAACAACAAGGGGAUGGGUAUGGUUGGUGGGCGACUGGGGCAAGGUAGACGUUGGAGCCAAUUUCUAAAACCGAACUGGUAAGUUUGAGAUAAUGUCGUUUGCCAAUUUAAUUACAUGAAUUCCCCAGCUACCCCCUUCCAAUCAUAAAAGUUUAGUGUGGUUGUUUGGUCUAUCUAUUAACUGGCAAUAUACCUGCGCGGUUAAAAAAAAUAAAAUAAAGUAAAAUUGAGAGAAUAUAUAUAUAAUUUAUAAAUUUUUGAACGGAAUCUUUUUUUAUGCUAUUAAAAAAUAUUAUAAAAAUAUUUCAAUAGUAAAAAAAAAAAUAUGGCGUGAUUUUUAUUAUUAAAGUAAAAAUUAAUACAAAAACUUGUGUUCAGGAAUAUGAAUUAAAAAUAUUGAAAUUUAUAGAUAUAAAUUAAAAAAAGUAAAAUAAACAGCGGUAAAAAUUCAUUAGUUUGAUUUAUUUUAAAAUUAAUAUAAAAAUUAAUUAAUUCGUUAUUUCAUUAAAUUUCAUGAAUAAAUAAUUUAUUUUAAAUAAUUAAGAGUGGUAUAAAUCUUCAACUAUCAUAUUAUUAAUACUAUAAUUAAUCAAUUAUAUUUAACAUAAUUUAAUUUAAUACAAUAAUUUUUUAUUUUUAAGAUAAAACAAUAACUGCUUAUAUCAUUAAAAUUUAUAAAUUAUGUAAUUCAUUUGUAUCGUUAAAAGUUAUAUAAAUUGUUACUUAACACACUAUUAAUUCUCUAGCGUUAUAUUAAUCAAUUACAUUUAAGACAGCUUAAUUCAAUUAUAAAUUAAUUUAUUUUCAAAUAAAUAUAAAAAUAAACAAUUAAUUCAUAAACAUAUUAUUAAUUUGGAAUCCUACCUGUAAUACCAAGGAAAAUUCUGCAUGCUUUAUAUAUAUGUGUGCGUGCGCGCGCCUGUGUGAUGGUUAGCUCGGUAAGUUAGAAAAUUAAAUUACUAGUGAAUCGAUUAUGUGAGUAGCUUCAUGAUUUUUAAAUGUCUUGCAAUUAAGGAUUAAGUAGCUGAACUGAUAAUUAAUUUGCUAAGUUAGCAUUAUGAGAAGACUUUGGUUGCUAUUGAUAUUGUUUUAUAAAAAAAAUUUAUCAAUUGUCUAAUUUAAUUCUCUCAUAAUUUAUAGAAUUCUCAUUCUAAAAUAAUAUUUAUUCAUCUUUUUUUUUCUAAAAAAUAAUUUUAUUGCAUUAAUAAAAUUUUUCGGGUAAUUUUCAAUAAUUAAUAAUCUCAACAAUAAAUUUAUUAUAUUUAUCAUUUGUUCAAUUCGAUUCUACUUUUCAUCUUUUUCACUUCACGAUGAUAUGUGUUUUCCUUUUUACUCUUAGUUUGCAUGUAAUAAUAUAAUAAAGAAAAAAAUUUAUUUUUGAGUACCAUGUGUACUUUUAUUUGCACGAUGACAAAAAAUUAAUGGAUUUAAGAAAAUACACUUAAUAGUUAAUAGUUUCACAGAGCUUAUACUUUUUUUUUUAUUUAGUUAAUUUAAUAGUUUAAGUAAAAUAGAGUAGUUAUAUUCGCAAAAAUAAUAUUUAUUAUUUAUAUUUUCAAUCAAAUUUAAUUUCAUACCAUGUAGUUCAUAUAUUUUAUUUUUAUCUAUUCAUUUUUUUUAAUUUUUUUAAUUUCUUUAAAUUCAUCAAAGAAGUAAUUUUGUUAAUAAGCAAAUUAAACAUUGUUAUUUAUAAGAACAUUAUUAAUAUUGAAACUGAUUACAAGGGAACUAAAUUUGAGGUUAGGUGACUACACAAAUCAGCUAAGCACGUGCACUGCAGGGUCAGCACGAGGAUGGGGAAUGAUGGGGAAGGUAGGGAAUGUCUGUGACUAGCAUGAUUCAGCAUGCAUUCAUAAACAUAUUAUUAAUUUGGAAUCCUACCUGUAAUACCAAGGAAAAUUCUGCAUGCUUUAUAUAUAUGUGUGCGUGCGCGCGCCUGUGUGAUGGUUAGCUCGGUAAGUUAGAAAAUUAAAUUACUAGUGAAUCGAUUAUGUGAGUAGCUUCAUGAUUUUUAAAUGUCUUGCAAUUAAGGAUUAAGUAGCUGAACUGAUAAUUAAUUUGCUAAGUUAGCAUUAUGAGAAGACUUUGGUUGCUAUUGAUAUUGUUUUAUAAAAAAAAUUUAUCAAUUGUCUAAUUUAAUUCUCUCAUAAUUUAUAGAAUUCUCAUUCUAAAAUAAUAUUUAUUCAUCUUUUUUUUUCUAAAAAAUAAUUUUAUUGCAUUAAUAAAAUUUUUCGGGUAAUUUUCAAUAAUUAAUAAUCUCAACAAUAAAUUUAUUAUAUUUAUCAUUUGUUCAAUUCGAUUCUACUUUUCAUCUUUUUCACUUCACGAUGAUAUGUGUUUUCCUUUUUACUCUUAGUUUGCAUGUAAUAAUAUAAUAAAGAAAAAAAUUUAUUUUUGAGUACCAUGUGUACUUUUAUUUGCACGAUGACAAAAAAUUAAUGGAUUUAAGAAAAUACACUUAAUAGUUAAUAGUUUCACAGAGCUUAUACUUUUUUUUUUAUUUAGUUAAUUUAAUAGUUUAAGUAAAAUAGAGUAGUUAUAUUCGCAAAAAUAAUAUUUAUUAUUUAUAUUUUCAAUCAAAUUUAAUUUCAUACCAUGUAGUUCAUAUAUUUUAUUUUUAUCUAUUCAUUUUUUUUAAUUUUUUUAAUUUCUUUAAAUUCAUCAAAGAAGUAAUUUUGUUAAUAAGCAAAUUAAACAUUGUUAUUUAUAAGAACAUUAUUAAUAUUGAAACUGAUUACAAGGGAACUAAAUUUGAGGUUAGGUGACUACACAAAUCAGCUAAGCACGUGCACUGCAGGGUCAGCACGAGGAUGGGGAAUGAUGGGGAAGGUAGGGAAUGUCUGUGACUAGCAUGAUUCAGCAUGCAAAAUCAGAUUGCUCCAUCCAGUGCCCUUCACUGAGUUCCCCACUCAGAAACACAAAAGCUAAAGCUUCCUGCAUCAAAUUCUAUGCACGCAUAUAGUAAUUUUCCUCUAAGAUUAUAAAAUAUAAAUUCACAUAAUUAGAGUAAAUCACAGGCAAAGAAGGAAAAUAUGCAAAAUUUAAUAUUCAGAUAGAAAGAAAUGCAGAACUUUAUGUGAAUUUUUGAUUUCCAGUAUUUUACAAGCAACAGCACAGCUAAAACUCUUGGUCUAAAUUUAAACCACUAUCUUACAAGCACGGAAUCGUAAUUUAACAAGAUUGUUCAAAAUGCAAAGAGAAUAGCAAUAUAAGAGACCUUUUCAACAUAUGCUUUCUCAGAAGAAGGCUAGACUAGACAACUAUGAUCUGCUGAUGCAUUACUCUGCUGGUUUACCUUUAAUAAAGCAAUAAAACAACAUGGAUAUCUACUUUCACCUUAACUUAGGCCUUUUGGGAAGGCUACUGCCAGCAUUCCUUCUAUCAGGUGCUCGAGGUGGUGGUGCUCGAGCCUUACCGAAAGCCUUCAUUUUCCUUCUUUUUCUCUCCUCCUCGCUGUCCGAGUCAUCCCCUUUCUCCCUGUCUGCAUAGCUUGCUUCCCUCUCCAGCUCAUCCCAUGUCUUUCCGUCAUCCUCAUCUGAGUCUUCCUCAGAGUCCUCAUCCUCAUCAUCUUCAGAUUCCACCAGUGACUCACUAUCAUCAUCCUCAUCUUCAGAUACUGAGUCAGAUUGCACAUCUGAAGGCUCAUAUCCUUGGUCUGAUUCUGCUGAGUUGUCUGAAUCUGAUUCGCUAGCUUCCAUGUUUAAAAAUUCCCAACCACCAUCCUCUAUGAAUUUUUCUGGAUCAUCAGUGAUAGUUUUCAAUAUAGGCCGCCAGUUCAGAUUUAAUCUACUCUCGUAGUACUUGAGGUCAGUUGUGUUUAGCCAUUCCUUGAUGUUAUCAAGUGAUGUGGAUGGAAUAGAGUCUAUCCGAAGGACAUCCCUCUUGAAGUCUUUAAAUACAAUAGUCAUAUCAAAAUUCUUCUGCCCAAGACCAACUCUCUCCAGAUUAACUAUCUCAAUCUCACUCAGAGUGAUAACAACAAAAGGCGUUUCUACCAGUUCAACCAGGCAGGUUGAUGUAGGGACAAUGAAAGCUGAGGCUUUGUGAGGCACGCCAUGGAACCCAAGCUCUCUCAGAGGUUGAUCAAACUCAAGGUCAAAUGCUUUGAAUUGGGGUUGGCCCCAAACAUCAUUCACUCGGUUUACGAAAUUCUGGAAGUCCAUGUUUAUUUUAUUCUUUCGAUCCCUCUCUCGUUGUUCUUCCUCUAUCUCAUCUGGGUCAUAGGCAGAUCUCUUUCCACCUCCAACUGUCUGGACCACAUCCAUUACCUCAAUAUAAAACUGAACAUCCUUGGUCUUUCUGUUCCCAACCAUUAUGUGAUUGUGCAAAUGAAAAUGCAGAAGAGUGAUCAUUUCCUUGUCUGCUGGUUGGAAGAAUGCAUGUUUGAUGUUACCAAACAUGACAUCAACACGUUCAUCUGGCCUUGAAGUUGAGUAGCGGAACCCAUUUGCAUGAGCUUCGAGUGAACCAGUCAGCUUUCUUCCACGACCACCAAAAGGUGGGCGAAUCCAUAGAUCCAGCAAUUUGAUCGGCUUGAAUUUGGCAGAUGCAAGUUGCAGUUUUUCCUGAGUAACUAAGGUUGCCCUUUCAGCCCUCUCAGACUCUCUGGAAUUGACCUGCCGACGCAGGGUUUUAAUCUGUUGCACCACUUCACUGAUAUGUCUAGAAUCCUUGGAGCGAAAUGAAACUUCCUUCAAAUAUAUUGAUCCUUGAAACUUAAGAGUAUUUGCAUCAUGAGGACUGAAAGGAGUACCAGGGACGUUAAAUAUUAUCCUUAUGUAGCAUGUUCGAUUACUAUCCUGCUGGCUCGACACACUCUUGACAGUAGCAACAUGGAAAGGCACCAUGCUUCCAUGAAUUGGCAAAAGGACAGCCUCAUUCUUCUGGUCAAUCUGAAUCAUCAAGUCUCUUGGAAGGGGCAAGUCGUUAACAUUCUUAUAAGCAAUUAAAUCACCAAUCAUCUUCGCAGAACCUCGACUGUCUGAUGCACCAGAACCCCCACCAGCAAGCCUCCUGGCAGUCUCUUCAUUCUUCUGGCGGGCAAGUUCAGCCUGGUGCUGCCUCCGCAAUUCUUCCUUUGAUAUUUCCUGGUGGUCUGACCUGAGUGUUGCCUUAGACAAUGUGGUUUCACCCGCUUUAUCUUCAGAUCUGGUUUUUGGCCUAUCUUCUUCUUCUUCAUCAUCCUCAUUGAAUGAGUAAGCCACAUCCUUGACCGCCUUGGAACUCUUUGAAGUUACUACAUCUGGGGACUUUUCACCAACAAUCACUGUGUCAGCAAGUAACACUGAGAAUUUCUGGGUCUUUGGAUUUUUAGUCUCUGUCUGCAAAUUCUGAAAGCCAAGUACCACAUUGAAAACCAUUCCAGGCUUCAAAAUUCGAUCAUUCUUAGAGUUAAGACUGAGGCCUGACUCACGAAACUCAAGGCCAAUUCCAGUUCCUGCAGUUUUGGUCAAGUUUGGAGUUAAUUCUGGCGCAUCCUUCUCAACUACAGAGAGUGCUGCUUGGUAAACAGCACUGACUUUAUUCCCAGAUCUCAAUGCAUUAAUUGCCGCUUCAUGGGCUUUAAGAAGGACUUCAUAUGCCUUGCUCUGCGUGGAAUUGGCAUCAAUCAGAAAGGUUCUAGCAACAUUUGUACAGUAGCUGUUGUAUCGGGAUCCUAUGGCACAUAUGAUCACACUAGUGGAGUCAUAGUAAAGAUUCUCAUCAUUGCUUGCAGCACUUGGUUUGAGAUCAAACUCUCCUCCACUCUGAAAAAUUGGAGGGUAACAUAUGUCAAUAUUCUCUGCCUUCAGCUUCACUUUAAUUCUAGCAGGUUCUAGAAUUGCCUUUUCUGUGUCAUCCAUCAAUGACGAAUGGGAGACUUUCUUCUCUUCAUCAAUGACCUUUUCAAGCUUUGGUACCACAAAUUGCUUCAUCACUGAUGAAAUCAAGAAUGCUGCUUUCCUCACAUUUGUAAGCUCAUUGUUGUCUUUGACAGCAAACAAGUCUGAGAAUGCAUUUGUUACAUCACUUAACUCACAAUUUGCAUUCUUUAAUUUUCCAUCCCAUAUCUCCAAAAGCUUUCCCUCAGGACUUUCCCUUGCUAUGUAUCCAAUGACAGGAAUAUCAUGAUUAGUAGAGUUUGACUGGGCAUGAACAGCACGAAAAAUGUUAUCCAUCAAGCCACUUCCAUCAUCAUUUUUGGCCUUCACAUGCAUCACAACUUCAACACCUACAGACUCCUUUGCGGACUUCUUUACAACAUCAAGCAAAGAAGCCUUUUUUUGACUACAUAAGAAAUGAACCUGCUUCUUCAUGAAGACCAUGAUAGUCUCUGGGAACUCAUAACCAACCAACCAGAUAUUCAGUGCUGAUGAUUUCAGGUAUCUCAGAUCCUCAGAAGGUGGAGGUGUUGCUACAGCAAGAGCAUCAGAAGCACCCCAUAGGUCACUGUUGUGUUCAUUCCAGUGUGAAUAUAACAUUUUCAACCGCUUACUGAAGUUAUUCAAAUCUAUAGAAUAAGGAUUGGUGGCUCCUGAAGGCUUGCCAUUUGGGGGUCGGACAUUAGCAUUACGGUCAGCCAUUGAAUGUAGCUCAAUUACAGAUUUUAAUUUCUAACCAACUCAGCUAGAAAAGUAGGCUAACCUGCAUAUAUUCUGAUAUAUCCGGACAACUAUCAGUUCAAAUCUUCCUCCAUAAAACAAUAGGUUGAGCUAAAUAGAGUUUCAAACGUAAAAUGAAAUAAAAUUGCAAACUUUGAUACAGGACUAAAUACAAUGUAACUAGAAAUCCGUGAAGAUCUUUAACCUAAUAAUGCAGAGAGAGAGAGAGGGGUAUAAAAAUACAAGAAAAGUGAUUGGUUAGUUCAAAUAAAAAAAAAAAACAUUUUUCGUGGUGGAAAUUAAGUUCAAAAUUUAAAGUGACACUUCCAAGUUUGCAGAUAAGAAGUCACUCUUAUAUUAUUUUAGUUAAUAGUUAAUUUUUACUUAAACAUUCAUUUCCUCAUACACCAAAACAAGGCAUUGAAUAAAUGCCCACUCCCCUGUAGCACAAGCACAACACCUCUGCACCCAAAGAUGAAAUACAGAAAAUAACUCCUUGUCAACUCCCACAGAUGAACAUCGAUCAAAUAAGUGAUUUUGGAUUAGAAAAAAAAAAAGGAUGAAGAAGAAGACGAAUAGGUGAGAUUAAUUACCUGUUUUAGCAAAACAUCACUUCCCCAUCGAAGAAUCAGAAAUCUAAUAAAAACUAUUAACGAAUCGCAAAUCGAUUAUUUCAGCUUCUGCAGUUAAAAAUUCUCGAUCUUCGACUCAGCUGCAAAGACCACAAAUAUCAGGGCUUGAAGUUACAUUUGGUGCUUGAAUCCUUAUAAUAACAAGGUAACGAACAAAACCCAGAUAGAAAAUAAAUGGAAAUUCACAGAUUACCGAUUAUAGCCAUGCGAUCAUUGGAAUUUUGAUUCAAAAUGGAAAACUGAAGUCUAAAUGUGUGGAAUUGAAGCAUCGACUAUGAUCAGGUGAAAGAGAAUCAGUCAUCAGAAGAUGGGGGAAAGGAAAUCUGGGUUGCAGUUUGAAUGUGAAAAAGGUUGGAGAUGACGAGAAGCAGAGGCCAACAGCAAAAAAGCCAAAAAGGAAAAAGAAACCAAUAAUGUAGAAAUGACUAUUUAUAUGUGAGAGGUCUAGCCCGUUCCCUCCAGUCCCUUCUCGUACGGUUCGUCUAUUGUUACGACCAGAAAGGCAGAAAGAAAAUUGGAUUCCUACUUUAAUAGUAAAAUAUCU
rnacentral:lncRNA from 1 species